UUUACAAUUCAUAUUUUAUCAACUUUAUAUUGAAUAUUUGGAGACACGACACUACUACAAAAUAUCUUUUAUAGGUCACCUUUUUAAGAACACUAGAUGUAAGCUCUUAAAAAUAUAUCUGGAGUUGUUCUUUAAAAAUAUAUAUUUUAAGACUCGUAAGGAUCUAAUAAAAUGUAGAUCCUAAAAAACUCUAAAGAGGGAAUUUGAUUUGGAAUUCUAUAGGUAACUUUUAAAACUCAAUUUGGUUUCCUAAAAGACCAUUAAGAGAUCUCAAAGUGUGCCGUUAAAAAUAUUAGGGAUUUCGAAUUGGGGCUUUAAUUAGGGUUCAUUAUUUUUCUAUCAGCACCAAAACUAAAGACAGGAAAAACGAAGGAGAAGAUGAGCCAUCGACGUCGACGACGACAGUUGGCUCUCCGACCUUUAGUGGCUACUGUAGAUGGUGGUGAAGGAGACCAUCUACUUCGACGGCGGCAUGCUGUUGACAGUGGUGACGUUGACGGCUGGUGAAGGCAGGCUGUUGUUGCAGAGGAGAAAGCGCGUGGUUGGUUCCUUGGGUUCUCAGCUUCACGGUGGUGGCGCUGUAGCUCACGGCGGCAACAGCGAAUGUCUACCAUCAAGAUUUGAAACCGAAGAAUAUAAUAGCAAAUGCAAAUUGUAAGCUUAAAAUAUGUGAUUUUGGGCUAGCAAGAGUUGCAUUCAAUGAUACACCGACUACAAUAUUCUGGACGGACUAUGUUGCAACAAGAUGGUACAGAGCUUCAGAGCUUUGUGGGUCGUUUUUCUCUAAGGUAUAGCUUUGUAUUGAGUUUUUUAUGUUAAAAAGUUUAGGAGAUAGUAUGAAUUUGGCUUAGGACCCUAGCAGCUAAUUGUUCUGGAGACUUUUGCUUAUUACAAUGCACAAGUGUCCUUUGGCCCGGGUACCGUAUGUAUGUAAAAAGAAUUCAUGGUUUGACCUUGGCCAUCACACAUUUGGCUUUCAUUUUCUGUCCCUAUUCUGUAUCCUUUAGUUGGCAAGCUAGUCUCAAAAACCAUCAAUUAUUUGUAAUAGCUCACCUUUAUUGUACUGCUCUUGCUGUUUCUAAUAAAGUGAGUGAAGUAUACCUCAAUUUUUUAAGAGUGCCAGUAUGUUUCAGCAAGUCAGAGCGUAAUAGGCCAUAUGAAUUCUGUUUUUGACUUGUACUAAAUUAGAAGAACCACAAGAGUUAUAUCUCUUA